rnacentral:rRNA from 1 species
AGCGCCUCGUGAAUUCAUCUCCGGGGGUAGAGCACUGUUUCGGCAAGGGGGUCAUCCCGACUUACCAACCCGAUGCAAACUGCGAAUACCGGAGAAUGUUAUCACGGGAGACACACGGCGGGUGCUAACGUCCGUCGUGAAGAGGGAAACAACCCAGACCGCCAGCUAAGGUCCCAAAGUCAUGGUUAAGUGGGAAACGAUGUGGGAAGGCCCAGACAGCCAGGAUGUUGGCUUAGAAGCAGCCAUCAUUUAAAGAAAGCGUAAUAGCUCACUGGUCGAGUCGGCCUGCGCGGAAGAUGUAACGGGGCUAAACCAUGCACCGAAGCUGCGGCAGCGACGCUUAUGCGUUGUUGGGUAGGGGAGCGUUCUGUAAGCCUGCGAAGGUGUGCUGUGAGGCAUGCUGGAGGUAUCAGAAGUGCGAAUGCUGACAUAAGUAACGAUAAAGCGGGUGAAAAGCCCGCUCGCCGGAAGACCAAGGGUUCCUGUCCAACGUUAAUCGGGGCAGGGUGAGUCGACCCCUAAGGCGAGGCCGAAAGGCGUAGUCGAUGGGAAACAGGUUAAUAUUCCUGUACUUGGUGUUACUGCGAAGGGGGGACGGAGAAGGCUAUGUUGGCCGGGCGACGGUUGUCCCGGUUUAAGCGUGUAGGCUGGUUUUCCAGGCAAAUCCGGAAAAUCAAGGCUGAGGCGUGAUGACGAGGCACUACGGUGCUGAAGCAACAAAUGCCCUGCUUCCAGGAAAAGCCUCUAAGCAUCAGGUAACAUCAAAUCGUACCCCAAACCGACACAGGUGGUCAGGUAGAGAAUACCAAGGCGCUUGAGAGAACUCGGGUGAAGGAACUAGGCAAAAUGGUGCCGUAACUUCGGGAGAAGGCACGCUGAUACGUAGGUGAAGUCCCUUGCGGAUGGAGCUGAAAUCAGUCGAAGAUACCAGCUGGCUGCAACUGUUUAUUAAAAACACAGCACUGUGCAAACACGAAAGUGGACGUAUACGGUGUGACGCCUGCCCGGUGCCGGAAGGUUAAUUGAUGGGGUUAGCGGUAACGCGAAGCUCUUGAUCGAAGCCCCGGUAAACGGCGGCCGUAACUAUAACGGUCCUAAGGUAGCGAAAUUCCUUGUCGGGUAAGUUCCGACCUGCACGAAUGGCGUAAUGAUGGCCAGGCUGUCUCCACCCGAGACUCAGUGAAAUUGAACUCGCUGUGAAGAUGCAGUGUACCCGCGGCAAGACGGAAAGACCCCGUGAACCUUUACUAUAGCUUGACACUGAACAUUGAGCCUUGAUGUGUAGGAUAGGUGGGAGGCUUUGAAGUGUGGACGCCAGUCUGCAUGGAGCCGACCUUGAAAUACCACCCUUUAAUGUUUGAUGUUCUAACGUUGGCCCCUAAUCGGGGUUGCGGACAGUGUCUGGUGGGUAGUUUGACUGGGGCGGUCUCCUCCUAAAGAGUAACGGAGGAGCACGAAGGUUGGCUAAUCCUGGUCGGACAUCAGGAGGUUAGUGCAAUGGCAUAAGCCAGCUUGACUGCGAGCGUGACGGCGCGAGCAGGUGCGAAAGCAGGUCAUAGUGAUCCGGUGGUUCUGAAUGGAAGGGCCAUCGCUCAACGGAUAAAAGGUACUCCGGGGAUAACAGGCUGAUACCGCCCAAGAGUUCAUAUCGACGGCGGUGUUUGGCACCUCGAUGUCGGCUCAUCACAUCCUGGGGCUGAAGUAGGUCCCAAGGGUAUGGCUGUUCGCCAUUUAAAGUGGUACGCGAGCUGGGUUUAGAACGUCGUGAGACAGUUCGGUCCCUAUCUGCCGUGGGCGCUGGAGAACUGAGGGGGGCUGCUCCUAGUACGAGAGGACCGGAGUGGACGCAUCACUGGUGUUCGGGUUGUCAUGCCAAUGGCACUGCCCGGUAGCUAAAUGCGGAAGAGAUAAGUGCUGAAAGCAUCUAAGCACGAAACUUGCCCCGAGAUGAGUUCUCCCUGACUCCCUGAGAGUCCUGAAGGAACGUUGAAGACGACGACGUUGAUAGGCCGGGUGUGUAAGCGCAGCGAUGCGUUGAGCUAACCGGUACUAAUGAACCGUGAGGCUUAACCUU